GCUCGUCUUCUUCUUGGGAACACCCUUCCUCCAUCUACAUACAAUUCUACCUCUUCCCUUUUCUCUCUCUCUCUCUCUCUCUCUCUGACUUAGUUAUAAACACAAAAACACAAAGUGACACCCUUUUUCAAUAACACUGUUCCUUUUCCCUUCAAAGUAAAUUCAGAAACUCCACCCUACUUUGUGUCUUUUCGGAACCAAAGAGAAGGAAAAAAAAAAAGUACCAUGAUAUGAUACUUUCAUCAUAAUCAUGAACAAUAAUAACAAGAAGAAGAAGAAACUAUUAUUUAUGGAUGACAACAAUCAUAAUAAUGCCGUUGCAAUCAUUCAUCAUAUGGACCCUUAUGAUGAGGAUGAUGAAGAUGUUCAUUAUUGUUAUUAUUAUUAUUAUUAUCAUUAUUAUUUUCAAUCAUGUGGUGAUGAUGAUGUUUUGUGCUACAAGAAGAAGAAGAAGAAGAUGAUAGGGUUAUGAUCGAUGGUGGAGAAUUCACCGGUGGAAGAAGAUUGAUUUAGCGGCGUACAUGGGAAAGCCAGGCAUUUUUUUCUUCACCUUCAUGAACUUUAUAAAUUUUGUUCUUCUUCUUUUUUUUUUUUUUGGUUAAGCUUAUUUUAUUUUUGUUGUGAUUUAUUAUUAUUCACACCUAUACUCCUAUAAUAUUAUUGUUGAUUCAAUUAUAUCGGGUUAUUAGGCAAUUAUUUGUAAACGGUUCUUAGCCUUAAAACUUCAUCAAUGGUCACAAAAAAUUUAUAAAGUGAAAUAAAUUUUGUUGCUGGUUUUCCUAGCUAGCUAGCUAGUCACUCCUCUCUCU
rnacentral:lncRNA from 1 species